AAACUUAAAGGAAUUGACGGGGACCCGCACAAGCGGUGGAGCAUGUGGUUUAAUUCGACGCAACGCGAAGAACCUUACCAGGUCUUGACAUCCCGAUGCUAUUUCUAGAGAUAGAAAGUUACUUCGGUACAUCGGUGACAGGUGGUGCAUGGUUGUCGUCAGCUCGUGUCGUGAGAUGUUGGGUUAAGUCCCGCAACGAGCGCAACCCCUAUUGUUAGUUGCCAUCAUUCAGUUGGGCACUCUAGCGAGACUGCCGGUAAUAAACCGGAGGAAGGUGGGGAUGACGUCAAAUCAUCAUGCCCCUUAUGACCUGGGCUACACACGUGCUACAAUGGUUGGUACAACGAGUUGCGAGUCGGUGACGGCGAGCUAAUCUCUUAAAGCCAAUCUCAGUUCGGAUUGUAGGCUGCAACCCGCCUACAUGAAGUCGGAAUCGCUAGUAAUCGCGGAUCAGCACGCCGCGGUCGAAUACGUUCCCGGGCCUU
rnacentral:rRNA from 1 species